AGCUAGGCCGUGAAUUGGCCAAACCAGACUUCAAACCAAUGCGCAAAACCUUCCAGGACCCGAUGCCGGAGAGCUGACUGGAGACCAGGAGUACUAUGAAGCACAGCCAGGUUCAUGUCCAUCUCCGACUUGAUUGCCUAUUAGACACUGCAUGCUUGUACUGCUACUUCUCUACUUGCAGUCUAUUGAUUAUAACCUGCAUGGCCUGAUUUACGUACCGUAUUCCUUGUACUCCUAUUACACCAUGUCGAAUGGUUGAGCUGCUUGCUUGUGUUUGUGUGGGAUCCUUGUGAUGAUAGUCUUGGCCUGUGUGGAGAUCCACCAUAUAAGAAGUUGGUGUCUAGGACUAUAGCGGGGCGAGAGAACUGACCCGAUCUUUGGAUUGGGCUGCUGGGGAUUGUGUGUUGGGCAUGUCCUACGGAGUCAUAUACCUGCGGUGCUAGAUGAGGUGCAAGGAGAUGAAGUUCUUGCACCGAACUUAGGGGUUUCUGGAGGUGUGUGUCGACAGGGAGUCCGAAAUGCCGGAAUGGCCCGCAUUGAGGUGUUGAUUGAAGUAUAUGUUGAUAUACUUGCUUGCUGCUUGCAUAGGAAGGCCUUAGCCUUUCUCCUUUGGCUACUUGAAUGAUCUUGCAUCCACUUAAAGCUACACUCAAAUGGCGACAUGAGCCUAUGCCGUCCUUGGGGAUAGAUUGGCUAGAUGUAGGUUCCGACCCGAAGUUUGACACCAACGAUGACGGGUGGUAUGAUUGAAGGCGUGCUACGCUCAAGAGAGCUUGUGGUGAUGGAAACCCAAGAUGGAGUCAACUGAAGGUUAGUUGUCAAUAUCGUCUUCUGUUUGAUCCGAAUUUAGCCCAGCGGGCUUGUAAUGGAGAUUCGUACUAUAAAUCCUCUGGAUAUUAUAAUAAUUAAACUCGUGAAUGUUCUACCGUA